GUGGCUGCUCUCAGGUUAUAGUUAACAUAGGUUAAAUAGGUAGUUACUGUCAUAAGGCGAUUCAAUGGAAAGACAAACGUGAAACUUCAACGUUUCAUGAUAGAGUCUGAAUUACACAAAUAAUUUGCGCCUUUAUCUACAAUCCAGCAAACAUGGGAAAAUUGGAUGUGAAGAUUCUGCGAUAUUUAGCCUCUGAAAACUUUCGUGUUUUGACGGCGGUCGAAAUGGGUAUGAAGAACCACGAGCUUGUACCUGCCUUACUCGUCGCACAAAUAGCGAAUCUGCGCUACGGCGGAGUUCACAAAUUGCUGAAGGAGAUGUGCAGGCAUAAAUUGCUCAGUUACGAACGAGGCAAGCGAUAUGACGGUUUUCGCCUGACAAACGCCGGUUAUGAUUAUUUAGCCUUGAAAGUCUUGACACAGAGAGGCACAAUAUGUUCCUUCGGCAAUCAGAUCGGCGUAGGCAAGGAAUCCAACAUCUACGUUGUUGCUAAUGAAGACGAGACGCCGCUUUGUCUAAAGUUGCACAGGCUGGGUAGAACGUGCUUCCGGAACAUCAAGGAAAAACGCGACUAUCAUCAGCACAGACAUUCCGCGUCUUGGUUGUACCUGUCGAGAAUCUCCGCGACCAGAGAAUUCGCAUAUAUGAAAGCACUUCUGGACAGAGGUUUUCCCGUGCCGAAACCAAUUGACUUUAACAGGCAUUGCGUUGUUAUGGAGCUGGUUGAAGGUGGACCUCUAUGUAAUGUAAAUGAAGUCAGCAACGUGGAAGCAUUGUACGACGAGCUGAUGGACUUGAUUGUUAGACUGGCGAAUCAUGGCGUUAUACAUGGAGAUUUUAACGAAUUUAAUAUAAUGAUGAAGGAUGACGGUAAGCCUGUUAUCAUUGAUUUUCCGCAGAUGGUUUCUACGGAGCACGAAAAUGCAGAGGCCUACUUCGAAAGAGACGUGACCUGCAUUCGUGAGUUCUUUAAGAGACGCUUCGGAUAUGAGAGCGAGCUGUAUCCGAAUUUUCAAGAUAUAUCACGUGAAGACUCCAUAGAUGCUGAGGUCAAAGCUAGUGGUUUUGCGAGAAAAAUAGACGAGGAAAUUGGUGUUUUCUUAUCAGAAAUCGAUAUUGAAUAUAAAGAAGAAAAAGACGAUGAGGAUAUCGAGAGUAGUGAGACCAGUCAGGAGGAAACGUAUGAAGAUUGCAUUGAUGAUACUGAAGAUUUGGAACAUCAAUUAAAUGAUUUACAAUUCCAAGAUCAAAUUGCAAAUGAAAGACUUGAAGUUCCGACAAGAAACAUAGUAAUAAAUAAUGACAAUGAACAUUCGAAGGAGGUAUCUACAGUGCCAUGUUCCGACAAGCAAAGUAACCCGGAAAAUGAAUGUGCAGGAAAUAACGAAGACGUCACGGUAGAAAAUUUAAUAGCCAAUGAAGAGCGCAACGAUUGCACGUCGUAUGGUUUACCAUCAAGCACGGUAGAUACAGCGACGUAUGCUUUUGAUGAUACACGAAGUAUACGGAGUGCUUCAACGGCCGCUACGAUCGCGCCAGAUGUGAUAAAGAAGAGAACAAAAUUAGCACUUAACAAACGCGACAAGAACCGAGCGAAGAGGGCACUUGUUAAGGGAGAAGCGAGCGCAGUGACGAGAAUACGAAGGGAUAAUAGGGCUACAAUUAAAGAAUCGACGGGAAUUUGGGGUUGGGAGUAAGGAGCAUUAAGGAGAUGACUUAAUCUAAACCAAGCAGAGACAUUCUAAAGAUUCAGAUUUUUCUGUCGCGUAUUGAGCUCGUCGCAGCUUAUCGUCGAAGCUAAAGUUCUCAGAUUCUAAUUCUUCCCAAUCCGAGAGCCCAAUGACAGACCUCCUGAAACGUCGAACCAAUUGGAAGAGAAUUUUAAGAAAUAUCUCUAGAACAUAGAUCGCGAAGGAUUUCCGAUCUUUAGAGGCAAGAAGCGGUACAGUUCAGUCUCAAGUGUACAGGCACAAGAGGAGACCUCCAAAGAGGCACAGUCCAGAGAGGAACGGAGCGUGUGUAUAUAUAGCAGCGAGUUGUCUCUUGAAUGCUGAGUCCCGUCCCGUGCACGUUCUGUGUUUAUAAAAUUUAUCCGGAAGUGACUUGACUCUCCAGGCGCAUCACCGCUGAAGAUUCAUCUGUUUCGGGUGUCCGCAGGAGAGAAUCAUGGCCAACGACAAUCUCACCGCUGUACUGUACGGCAUCAACGAUCUGCGCCUGG